UACGUAGGAUGCGAGCGUUAUCCGGAUUUAUUGGGCGUAAAGGGAACGCAGGCGGUCUUUUAAGUCUGAUGUGAAAGCCUUCGGCUUAACCGGAGUAGUGCAUUGGAAACUGGGAGACUUGAGUGCAGAAGAGGAGAGUGGAACUCCAUGUGUAGCGGUGAAAUGCGUAGAUAUAUGGAAGAACACCAGUGGCGAAAGCGGCUCUCUGGUCUGUAACUGACGCUGAGGUUCGAAAGCGUGGGUAGCAAACAGG
rnacentral:rRNA from 1 species